ACUUCAGAGAAAAGGGAAUAUCAUGAGAAAUAGCCAUCUCAAACUUAGGAAAUUUAAGUUCUUUCUUUCAGCCGUUCAGUCUCCAUGUUUCACGACUCACUCUAGUGCGAUCCAACAUUUCAAAUGGUUACCAGUUUUAAUGCUCUUUACUAAACUGCUAGAUUUUGAUAUGGAACAUUAGGAAGUUCAACAUCUAUUAUAUAUUCCCAGUAAAAAUUAGUAGUCCAAAGAACACAGUUAUCAGGUAACAAAUAACAAUGUUCUCUUAUUACCCUUAAAAUAAAUAUCCUUCCCUCAACAAAGUGAAACAUUCAUUAACUUAAGAAAUAAACAUGCAUCUGUAUCUUGUUUCACCACUUUUUGCAUUGCUUAAUUCACUUUCAUUAUUUUAUUUUACAAUUCCUUAUGAGAUGAUAUGCAGUUGCCUGAAAGUAGUAAUUCAGUGGACUGCACAGUAAUAUACACUACACAGUCAGCUGAUGCAAGCUACCUUCAAUCAGUAAUCAGACACAAACAGGUCCACAUUCCUCAUAUGAGGAAACAGUGGUCACAUGAAGCCAGUAGUGAAAUGAGAUGGCUACAUCUGGUUUAUCCUCUGUAACAAACCAAAUUAUUGUUUGUUAAUAAUUCAACAUCUUUAUCUCUACUCUUUGACAUAGAUGGAUAAAGACCUGACUGCAAUCAGAGAGGUAGCAAGACAAAACUGGUAGCCUGAGCAAUCCUGAAAACACCACCCAUUUCUAAUAAAGAUCACAACCAAUAUGGAAAAUUUAAAUUAUACUUACUAAUAGAGUUGCAAACAGUUACACUCAACUAAGCAGAUUAAUUUAAGCCACAAUGCUGUUUAAAUGAACGUCAUUAGUACAAUUGGAGCCAAUUGACAACUCAUCUGAAAUGUUAAUCACACCACAUAGCAGCUUAUACCUGGGGCAUCUGUCCCUUUGUACCACCCUUGCUACAAUCCUGAUUAUGAUACAGACAACUCAAGUUCAACUAGUGAAUAUGUGCUGAAAGAAUAAGCUGGGAGAUGGUAUGAGUGAGUACCUAAUAAUUGCUCCACAAGCCUUGGGGAGGGAAUGAUGGUUCCAACUGGCUAAUCCUCACUUUCCAAUCAGAGAGUUGCAAGUACUGAACAUGGCCAGGACUGGUGAUAUGGGUUUGGCUGUACCAAGAUGGGGAAGGUAUCCCUCUGCAGCAUGUGUGUAGAAGCAGAUACACACUGGGGAUGGGUAUAGUGAAGCUGCUGUAGUGAUGCUUAUAUUCAUGUUAGCCAACAGUGGUUGGGGUUAGAGGCACAAGUAGGAAAGUCCUGAUGGCUGCCCAAAUAAUACCUUUUGGUAUUUGGCCUCACCUCACAGGGAUGAAGUGGGACUGAUACACUUCUUCUCUUAUAAGGAAUGAAAGGGCCAAAAGAUAGUGGUGAGUGUUGAUAAGUGAAACACAGGUGACCUCCCAAAAUUAAAUAAAAUAGAACAUGUUAAAGUGAAUUGCUUUCAAUUGUUGUAGCCACACCUUAGAGACAGACACACAAAGAAAUGGCAUAGAAUAUCAAAGUUCACUGUGACAUCAAAAAUAAUGUUAUACAGCUGAAAACUAUUCAUUGUUUAAAUGUAUCGGAAUUAAUGAACUUUCACACAUUCUCCCUUGCAUAUGUGUCCAUGAAGCACUUUGUUCCACUUCAACACAUAAGUCUGGGUUUCAUUUCACAUUGUGUCCCAUGAGUUAUGUUAAUUGAUAUUGCUUGCUAUUACUUACAGACAUAUAUUAUUUAUUGAUAAAUCCAGGUGGAGCCCAAAACUUAUAAAGUAAAUAGUGUGUGAGAUCCAUGAGUGUAGUGGACAAACUCCAUGGCUGGUAAAAAUGAGGGCAAUUGUGCAUAAUACAGGAAAAGGUUUAGUGACUGCUCAAAGACAUAUGUAUGUAGUCCACAAACCUUGGGGAGGGAAUGAUAGCUUCAGAAUGAAAGUCAGAAAUUAUGUAGUGGUGUGUCAACAUUAGCAUGCUCUCAUCACUGCAGUCUAGUCAUGGUAACUAACACCACCACCACCACAGUUAGUAUUCAGACUAACUAUAUAAAGCACACCACACAAGGUAUACAGGUUGUGUGUGUGGGGGGGUUAGGGCACUUACAACUGUAGUCUAUAGGAAUGAUGCUUGACGAAAGCAACACAUUGACUAUGCAUGCUUUGACAUUGCAUGGUUCAGUUGCAGAUGCUACAUCAAACAGUCAAACAGAAUAUCAGGACCAGUAAUUUCAGAUGUAGCAAAACCCUUUCAAACAGAGGAUCAGCUGAGGUGGACCCUCAGUAUUUUUGACACUGAGUAAUGAUUUGCACAUUUAGGCAGGUGGGCAUGAGAAUGAGAUGAGGCACCUGACACAGAGAAUAUUUGUGAAUUGUGCCCAUUCAAUAUCCAUUAAUGAUCAGGCAUGUCAUGCAUCAGCACUUUGGCAGUGAUAUAGAACUGUGUGGUCAACUACACAGCAGCACAGAUGCAAAAGCAUGCAUAUAUGGGGUUGCCUGAGAGAGGGAGUUUGUGUGUGUCAGUAAGCAGUGCCCAUCCUCAUCGCAUACCCACUAGAGUUUCAACUUUGCUUCUCCCAGUGUGAUCCUGCAUAGGAUACAGACACACACACUAUCCUCCAUUCACUACACACUGCUCAGAAGCCCAUUUUGCCCAACAGGCCCUGACUGUUAGCAUCUGCAAUUGCUGUACAUCCUUACUUUAAUUAUCCUUCUGUCUUUAUACUAUGGUGCUAUUAGUAGGUCACACAGACUACUCUGCUGUGCAUUCCCAAAUGAGUACACAGAAUGCAUCCACCCACACCUUUCUCUAAAGUGUUUUUCUCUGCAACCCAUCUCCAGAGGGUCUGCAAGCAGUCUAGCUGUAUGCCCCUAACAGUUUGUUAUAGCUGUUUUGCUGCCUAUGAUACUACAUGUCCUGUAAGCAUAUGGGCAGUCUUGUUGUGUGCCUCUAACAUAUUGUUUUAGUUACCUUGUUGUGCAUGGCACUGUAUAUUCUGCAGAUGUAGAAACUGUUUCAUUGUUGAGCCCAGAUGACCCUCUUUAUUAGUCCUCCUGAGAAGCACACCCUGUGCAUGUUCAUGCCUCUCUUCGGUGUGAUUACUUUACUGUGCAGCUUGCCUGGCCUUCUUGAACUGCGCCACCCCAUGCCCUGGAAAGGGUCAUGACUUUCCUAAUUGUGCUGCUGACAUAGCUGGGGUGGUCAGCUGCAUUGAAUUCAUUGCAUCAGUACUUUAGCUGGUUCAUCUAGCACCCUAGGCAGUUUGCCAAACACCACCUUAAGUUAAUAUUAAGGAAAUAAUAAAAGGUAUUCUGAGAAUUUACAAUACCCCCUCCAGAAAAAAAAAUGUUUGACUAUAACAAUCUGCUUACUACAUCUGUAAAAAACACUCUACUACAGCUACUAGCACCUGAAUUUCAUUCAUUUGUUAAGCCUCGGUAUCAUUGCAGCUUCAUCAGUAAAUGCCAGUACUGCACUUCCAUCCCACUGUGACCUGCUGAUUACAUCCCCUAACAGCUGUAAGAGCAGCUAGUCCCUCUGCACUGUGCCACCUAUGGCUCUGGAGUACCUCACCCAUGUUUUGCAGUGCUGCACUGUGUUAGUCCUGGCAGGCAUGUGAUUCUGUCCAUGGUUCACACUUCAGUAUGUACAUAUUACAUGUUUUGUAGUGCUGCACUGUGUUAGUCCUGGCAGGCAUGUGAUUCUGUCCAUGGUUCACACUCCAGUAUGUACAUAUUACAUGUUUUGUAGUGCUGCACUGUGUUAGUCCUGGCAGGCAUGUGAUUCUGUCCAUGGUUCACACUCCAGUAUGUACAUAUUACAUGUUUUGUAGUGCUGCACUGUGUUAGUCCUGGCAGGCAUGUGAUUCUGUCCAUGGUUCACACUCCAGUAUGUACAUAUUACAUGUUUUGUAGUGCUGCACUGUGUUAGUCCUGACAAGCAUGUGAUUCUGUCCAUGGUUCACACUCCAGUAUGUACAUAUUACAUGUUUUGCAGUGCUGCACUGUGUUAGUCCUGGCAGGCAUGUGAUUCUGUCCAUGGUUCACACUCCAGUAUGUACAUAUUACAUGUUCUGCAGUGCUGCACUAUGUUAGUCCUGGCAGGCAUGUGAUUCUGUCCAUGGUUCACACUCCAGUAUGUACAUAUUACAUGUUUUGUAGUGCUGCACUGUGUUAGUCCUGGCAGGCAUGUGAUUCUGUCCAUGGUUUACACUCCAGUAUGUACAUAUUACAUGUUCUGCAGUGCUGCACUGUGUUAGUCCUGGCAGGCAUGUGAUUCUGUCCAUGGUUCACUCUCCAGUAUGUACAUAUUACAUGUUCUGCAGUGCUGCACUAUGUUAGUCCUGGCAGGCAUGUGAUUCUGUCCAUGGUUCACACUCCAGUAUGUACAUAUUACAUGUUCUGCAGUGCUGCACUAUGUUAGUCCUGGCAGGCAUGUGAUUCUGUCCAUGGUUCCCACUCCAGUAUGUACAUAUUACAUGUUUUGUAGUGCUGCACUAUGUUAGUCCUGACAAGCAUUUGAUUUUGUCCAUGAUUCACACUCCAAUAUUUAUAUAUUACAUGUCCUUCAGUGGUGCAUGGAGCAUGUCUGAACAGGUAUGUAAUCAUGUCCAUAAAUUAAAUGCAUAUGUGUACAUGACGAGUGCUUCACUGAGUGUUUUCUGACAGAGACAUGCUCUUAUCCUUAAUCCAUGUAUGUCUGUGCAUGUACUUCUGUGUUGUAAUAUGUUUGUCCUUUCAGAUACUUGACUCUGUCCUUGAGUCAUAUGUCUGUAAAUGUCCUACAGUUCUGCAGGGUUUGUCCUGAUAAACACAUGAUUUUGUUUGAGCCUCUCUCCAGGCUGUGCAUGUCAUUCAGUACUAUAUUGACUAUGGCCUGUCCAUGUCCUUCAGUGCUGUAAUGUAUGUUGACAGGCACAUGAUGCGAUGUGCCAACUGUCUGCUUGUUCAUGUCCAUUUUCCUGAAUGCUGCACUGGCUGUGCCAUAAUAACAGCCACAGGACUGUGUACAGGAAAUCAUGUGCUGAUCUGUACAAAUCCCUAAGUACUACUGACACUGCUGAGGUACCAAACUCCAUUUCAGUACACCAUGUAGGACCUUCAAAGAUUCAAAGAAACUUUAUUGCUAUUUAGGACUGCACAAGUGCAGCCUAAAUGAAAUUACAAAUGUCAGCUCAUGAGAGAAAUGCAGUGCAAAUAACAUAGAUGCAGCCAUAUCAAACAAUGAUAUAAGAAAGAAAAUAACACGUAAGACAUGCAAGACGCAGUUAACAUUACAUAAAUACAUUCACUUCCCAUUAUCCAGUGAUAAAUAAUAAAUAUCAACCACCAAACCCCUACACUGUUAAGAUAGAGAAUAAACAGAGACUAGUGAAUAACAGGUGUUUAGUUACCAUAUUGCACUUGUUAACCUUAGAUGUGACUCAGUAUAGCCAUCAUAUUGCAUAAUAGUAAUGCUGGUGGUAAUUGCUCAGAGCAGCAGGAUUAAAUGAAAAAAAAGAGGCUUCUAUGUAUCGGGUAUUAUAGUUGGUGUCCGUAUUAAUAUGUCUCACAGCUGUAGGAUACAAACUGUUCCUGAAUCUAGUAGUCCUACAGUGGAAGCUGAGGUACCUCCUUCCAGACGCAAGUUCUGAGAACCAGUUUUGGGCCAGAUGGGCCGAAUUAGCAAGUAUUUUGUAUGUUCUCUUUCUUGCUCUUGUAAAGAAAAGUUCCUGAUUAGAAGCGAGGCUUGUGCCCAAGAUUUUCUCAGUGCCGCAAUGAGGUUAUUCUGACAGACCAGUCAUUCUGUCCAUAAGUUACUACCAUUGUAUACGUCCUUCAAUGCUACAUAGUAUGCCUCAAGCGAGACAUAAUUCUAUCCAUAAGCCACAUGCCAGUUUGUACACACUGUCCUUGAUUGCUGCACUGUGUGUGUUUUGACAGGCAUGUGAUUAUUUCCAAUAGUCACAACUGUCUGUGCAUGUCAGUCAGUGUUGCACUGAAUGUAUCCUGACAGACAUUUGAUUCUUGUCUGCAAGUCACAUGUCUAUCUCUGUACCUGUUUCCAGUGCUACACUGCAUUUAUCAUGACAGACACAUGAUUCUGUCCAUAUGUCACAUGUCUGUCUGAAUAUGUCCCUCAGUGCUGCACUUGACCUGACAGGCAUGAGAUUCUGUGCAUUAGUCACAUGACAGCCUGUGUAUGCCCCUCGGUGCUUCACUAAGUGUGUCCUGAGAAAAAGCAUGAUUCGCUGCAUUACUCUAUGUUUCUUUGUAGAUGUCCUUCAGUGCUGUACUGGAUGUGUCUUUAUAGGCAUGUCCAUGAGCCUUAUGCUUUUCUGGCAAUUUCUUUCAGCUCUGCAUGCUGUGCCUUGACAGCACAUGAUUCUGUGCAUGAUCCACAUGGCUGCAUGCCGCUCAACUUUCAAUGAGGUUAAAGGUUGUCCCAGACUUUGCCUCAUAUUGUUUCCCUAUUCCUCAUUUUAUUUCCUGGUAAAUCACCGAGGACAGCAAACAAUAAACAAUGCAUGACAUUAGAUUUCAUAAUACUUACUCGACAAAAAAUGCAUGAUAAUGCAAAACCUUUGUUCUAUUAACUGUUUUAACUAAAUUAGAGUACUAAUUAAAAUUGUCCCUGACACUGGGAUUCUGUACCCCAGUUGGUUUUUGGCCUUGUUCCUGAUUCUUGAGCAAAAAGAUGAGAACUAUGCAUGCCUGUCUGUAUUUAUUCUCCUUCAUUGCUGCACAGUGUGUCAUGGCAGACAUAUGACUGUAAGCAUAACUUAUAUGCCUGUCUGUACUUCUCCUUCAGAGGUGUACUGUGUGUGUCUUGACAGACACAUGAUUCUGUGCAUAAGUUACAUGCCUGUCUGUACUUCUCCUUCAGAGCUGUACUGUGUGUCUUGACAGACACAUGAUUCUGUGCAUAAGUUACAUGCCUGUCUGUACUUGUCCUUCAGAGCUGUACUGUGUGUGUCUUGACAGACACAUGAUUCUGUGCAUAAGUUACAUGCCUGUCUGUACUUUUCCUUCAGAGCUGUACUGUGUGUGUCUUGACAGACACAUGAUUCUGUGCAUAAGUUACAUGCCUGUCUGUACUUUUCCUUCAGAGCUGUACUGUGUGUGUCUUGACAGACACAUGAUUCUGUGCAUAAGUUACAUGCCUGUCUGUACUUCUCCUUCAGAGCUGUAUUCUGUGUCUGGACAGACACAUGAUUCUGUGCAUAAGUUACAUGCCUGUCUGUACUUUUCCUUCAGAGCUGUACUGUGUGUGUCUUGACAGACACAUGAUUCUGUGCAUAAGUUACAUGCCUGUCUGUACUUCUCCUUCAGUGCUGCACUGACUGGGUACUGAUUCCAUCCAUAAGAAACAUGAUUGUCUAUACAAGCCCUUCAGGGCUACAGUGAUUGUGUCCUAACAGACAGAUGGCUCUGUCCAUCAGAUGCAUGCUUCUAUUUACAUAAAAUGUUGUAUGGUACUGUGUACUGCCUAACAGGUACAUUGUUCUGUCCAUGACCUAUACACCUGUCUGCACAUCAAACAGAAUGACUUGUUCCUCAUGCACAUCGCAUAUGUUUAUCAAUAUUGCUGUUUGUGACAUCUAGUUUCUUAGUAUUGGAAUUAUCUUCUGCUGCUGACCAGCUAGUAUGGAAAAUGAAAAACACAGAUAUAUGGAUCACUGUAUUUCCUGCAUUCCUUAAUCAUUUGACUAAUGCAGUGAUAAUCCUUUCUUCCCUUCAACAAACACACUUACACAACUAUUUAUAUGCUCUGCUCAUUUUAGCUGCUGAAAUAUAAAUGACAUGAAUGGGCGGCAGCAUAAGAUAAAUGCCAUCUACAAGUAAAAUGGAGGUUUAAAUAUCAUCUUGCCUGCCUACUAUCCCCCACAAACACACACACACACACACACACAAAAUCCAACAAAGAGAAACUGAUUGACAGAAGAGAUAGCUGGAAAGAAAGGAUGAUGGAAUGGUGGUAAAGGAGACAAAGAACUGAUGAACAUUUGUCAGAAAGAUAGAGAAAGGAUGCAGUAAAGCAAGUGAAUGAAAAAAUAUCUGAAAAAGAAUUAAGCAUAUGGCAUCUUCAGUGCAUGUUACAAUUAGAGUGAAAGUAAUAUUAAUUUUCAAUUUAUGUCUUCCCUCAUUUUGCGUGAUAUGAGAAAGACAAGUACAGUGCAAGAAAAAAAAAACUUUUAGCAACUGUUUAGCUGGAAAGUUGCAGCUUCCUGACAUAUACAGGGAUGCUGAAUACUGUUGUUUAAUGUAGUGGCUAAUGGUGUAGCCAAGACAUCUGUACGGUAACUAAUAUUAAUGAAUAUGCAUAGGAACCAGAAGAGAAACUGAAUGCACCAAUCUACCGCAUGCAUGGAUGUCCUUGGUGAAAGGAAUUAAGGCUAAAGUCAUUGAAAUUCAGUGUGUGUGAUGCCAAGUGAAGCAGGAAUGACUAAUAAGAAAUAUGUACAAUGAUAACUUACCGGAAAUGACACCUGUUUGACCUAGAAAUUAGCCCUCCUGUCCUUGUCUUCACAGUUUCUAAAACUAAUGGAUAUAUAGUACUUCAGAAAGAAUUAACAUUCAGGAAUUGCCUUUAAUGGCAAAUGCAAAACUUAAAGCUGUUUAUUUACAGUUCAUCAGGGCACUGUGUUGUUAAAUAUGUGUUGACAACCUUUGUUACAUUCACUUAAUAUUCUGAAUGUUUUUUAUAUGGCAAUGGCAAACUAUGUUGUGGCAUGCAAUGACAAAUUUCUCAAGUGCAAAUUAUGUGCAAUGCAUUAAAUGACAGAGACUGACAUGCAUAAAGGUAACAAAAGUUGGAAUGAAUGAUACUAUUAUCAAAACAAAGGUGAUGUUUUUCUUUAUUGUAAUACUGUUGCUUCCUUAAGUUUUUGGAACUUUGUAUUUUUCUGUUUGAAAAUAUUUUCUUUUUUUUUUUUUUGCCUUUUGGUGGCAGAUAUUUAUAUCUGACUGAUAUCUGUUAUUCUGCAAAUAUAUCGUAUUAUUUUCUAAAAUAA